AACCGCUAAGCCACUGAAACUAAAAUGAGUGUUUAUACGUGCUAUCAAAAAGAUGAGUGGUUCUCAUUAGUUUAAACUUAUCUUCUCUUUGUACCCUAGAUUUUGCUAAAAGAUCUCUAACUUAUUUUCACGAUUAUCUUCAUGAUUAUUGAUCAAAUCACACAAAAGAUUGGAGUAAGGUACUCGAGUAAAUGGAGAUCUCAAACAGAAUAUGUGGAUUAUAAAAGUGAAGGAAUUGUUGUUGCUGAAUCAGUAAAUUAUUUGAGGUUAGUUUCGUCGAUUGCUGAUGAACUAAACAUUGACGAAACUCAAAAAAAAUAUUGAUAUACGUUAUGUUGUUGAUGGGAAUGAUUCAUCUUUUGAUAUCCGUAACGAUAAUAACGUACGAUUGUAUGUCAAAUUGAAAAAAACUCAACCGGCGUUCAUGGUGUAUCCGUUAUGUAUUUCAACAACAGAAAAAUGUGAAGAUGACAUAUUGUUCGAUAGGAAAACAGGAGCUGUGAUUUGCCUGGAAGGUGUUGAAUCUGAUGCUUUGGCUUUAUCUGUUGCUGAGACACAAAAUGAGUAUGUUUUGUAUGUAUCAGAGGUUGAAGAUAACUUGAUAUGUGAUAGCAAGAGUAUUAUUGUAAAGAUGAAACAGAUGUAUAAGAAUAAAAAUAUGCUUGUUUCAGUGAUGUUGAAAUAUAAGGUGACUAAUGGAUUCAAUGUUAGAGCAAAAUGAUCAGACAAAAAAAGGUGAAAUCGUAUCUUCUUUAUAUUAAGCAGUAUGAUAUAUGAAAUCUUGAAUGUUUUAUA